CGUAGGUGGCAAGCGUUGUCCGGAUUUACUGGGCGUAAAGAGCGCGUAGGCGGCUUUUUAAGUCUAUGGUGAAAUCUCUCGGCUUAACUGAGAGGGGUCUGUAGAUACUGAAAGGCUUGAGUACCGCAGAGGAAGAUGGAAUUCCCGGUGGAGUGGUGAAAUGCGUAGAUAUCGGGAGGAACACCAGAGGCGUAGGCGGUCUUCUGGGCGGUUACUGACGCUGAGGCGCGAAAGCGUGGGGAGCGAACCGGAUUAGAUACCCGGGUAGUCCACGCCGUAAACUAUGGGCACUAGGUGUCAUGGGUAUCGACCCCCGUGGUGCCGUAGCUAACGCAUUAAGUGCCCCGCCUGGGGACUACGGCCGCAAGGCUA
rnacentral:rRNA from 1 species